ACGUCGGACUUUCGGAUUUAGUGUUGGAAUCGGAAGUUGCUGUUUUAAAGUCACCGAAACGGUAUACGAGAUAUAUUAUUCGACGUGCCUUAGCAAGAUGAAAACAAAUGUAAACUUUUGGUUUUUACAUCAUUUCAUGUUAAAAAGUUCUAACCGGAAGUGCCAUAUUAUAGUCGCAGAAAUAGUAUAUCUGACAUAGAAGCGUAUUGAAAAGUCGCGCUUGAUUUUUUAGUUCCGGUUUUGAAGUAAUUUCCGUUUAAUUUUGUGCUUACAUUCAACCGCUGACGUCUUCCGAACGCACCCAAUGAUAGAGAAGAUGAGGAUGAUGUUAAUAUGGAGUGAGUAAAUUAUAUGAUAACGUGAAAAUCGGCGGACACAAAGUGCCAAAUCCGAAAAGUGUGUAAGUAAUAGUCAGACAAAAAGUGAAAAUUAGGUAAUAGUGCGAAAAAUUGCAACUAAUUGUUGUAUACUAAUAUACAGGGUGAGUCAUCAGUCACCACUAACGGGACGGAAGAUUACAGCGAAA
rnacentral:lncRNA from 1 species